rnacentral:rRNA from 1 species
CCUACCCUCGAGAGGGGAAUAACUCGCCGAAAGGUGAGCUAAUACCGCGUACGAUCCUUGGUCGCAAGGCGAAGGAUGAAAGCUGCACCGUGGGUGUGGCGCUCGAGGAUGGGCUCAUGUCCUAUCAGCUUGUUGGUGAGGUAACGGCUCACCAAGGCUACGACGGGUAGCUGGUCUGAGAGGACGAUCAGCCACACUGGCACUGCGACACGGGCCAGACUCCUACGGGAGCGCAGCAGUAAGGAAUAUUGCGCAAUGGACGACAGUCUGACGCAGCGACGCCGCGUGGGGGAUGAAGGUCUUCGGAUUGUAAACCCCUUUCGGGUGGAAAGAUGGCUCUCGACAACGAGAGCGGACGGUACCACCAGAAGCAGCCACGGCUAACUUCGUGCCAGCAGCCGCGGUAAGACGAAGGUGGCAAGCGUUGUUCGGAUUCACUGGGCGUAAAGCGCGCGUAGGCGGUUCGGUAAGUGAGUGGUGAAAUCUCCAGAGCUCAACUCGGAAAUUGCUUCUCAUACUGGCAGACUAGAGGAAUGCAGAGGUAAGUGGAAUUCCUGGUGUAGCGGUGACAUGCAUUGAUAUCAGGAGGAACACCCAUGGCGAAGGCAGCUUACUGGGCAUUAUCUGACGCUGAGGCGCGAAAGCGUGGGGAGCAAACAGAAUUAGAUACUCUGGUAGUCCACGCCCUAAACGAUGGAUACUAGGCGUAAGAGGUAUCGACCCCUCUUGUGCCGCAGCUAACGCACUAAGUAUCCCGCCUGGGGACUACGGCCGCAAGGUUGAAACUCAAAUGAAUUGACGGGACCCCGCACAAGCGGUGGAGCAUGUGGAUUAAUUCGAUACUAACCGAAGAACCUUACCCA